AGCAGCCGCGGUAAUUCCAGCUCCAAUAGCGUAUAUUAAAGUUGUUGCAGUUAAAAAGCUCGUAGUUGAAUUUCGGGGUUAGCAGGUCGGUCGUGCCAUCGGUAUGAACUGGUCUCGCUGAUCCCUCCCUCUUGACGAACUGUGAUGCCAUUAAUUUGGUGUCGCAGGGAAUCAGGACUGUUACUUUGAAAAAAUUAGAGUGUUUAAAGCAGGCUCACGCUUGAAUACAUUAGCAUGGAAUAAUGAAAUAGGACGUUUGAUCCUAUUUUGUUGGUUUCUAGGAUUGACGUAAUGAUUAAUAGGGAUAGUUGGGGGCAUUAGUAUUCAAUUGUCAGAGGUGAAAUUCUUGGAUUUAUUGAAGACUAAUUACUGCGAAAGCAUUUGCCAAGGAUGUUUUCAUUAAUCAAGAACGAAAGUUAGGGGAUCGAAGACGAUCAGAUACCGUCGUAGUCUUAACCAUAAACUAUGCCGACUAGGGAUCGGAUGAUGUUAAUUUUUUAAUGACUCAUUCGGCGCCUUA
rnacentral:rRNA from 1 species